UACGUAGGGGGCGAGCGUUGUCCGGAAUCACUGGGCGUAAAGCGUGCGUAGGCGGUCAAGCAAGUCCGAGGUGAAAGACCGAGGCUCAACUUCGGGGUGGCCUUGGAAACUGUUUGACUUGAGUGCUGGAGAGGCAAGGGGAAUUCCACGUGUAGCGGUGAAAUGCGUAGAUAUGUGGAGGAAUACCAGUGGCGAAGGCGCCUUGCUGGACAGUGACUGACGCUGAGGCACGAAAGCGUGGGGAGCAAACAGGAUUAGAUACCCUGGUAGUCCACGCCGUAAACGAUGAGUGCUAGGUGUUGGGGGGGUUACCCUUCAGUGCCGAAGGAAACCCAAUAAGCACUCCGCCUGGGGAGUACGGUCGCAAGACUGAA
rnacentral:rRNA from 1 species